UACGUAGGGGGCAAGCGUUGUCCGGAUUUAUUGGGCGUAAAGAGCGUGUAGGCGGUUUGGUAGGUCCGCUGUGAAAACUCGAGGCUCAACCUCGAGACGCCGGUGGAAACCAUCAGGCUAGAGUCCGGAAGAGGAGAGUGGAAUUCCUGGUGUAGCGGUGAAAUGCGCAGAUAUCAGGAGGAACACCGGUGGCGAAGGCGGGACUCUGGGCCGAUACUGACGCUGAGGAGCGAAAGCGUGGGGAGCAAACAGG
rnacentral:rRNA from 1 species